GCUGGUCUGCUGAGUCGUAUCCAGGAGACAUUCAACUGCAUCGUGUGUCAGGAGGUGGUCUACCAGCCCGUCACUACCACCUGCAGCCACAACAUCUGUAAGCUCUACAAACUAUUACAGAAUGUUCCCCUCAAGGUUAUUUCUCUGCUGUCUGCUGGGAAUUGUUUCCCUAGUGUAUGGACAGACUUUGACUCGACCGGCAUCAGGCAAUGAGCCCCCUGGCACUAACCACACUGGAAAGAUCAUCUCGUUCUCUGAUGUUGGAUCAGGAGUUGGUACUGAUCCACGAGCCUGGUAUUGCUACACCGGAGUCACUGGUGGUGUAGUGUGGCAGUUCCCUAAUGGGAGUGCAUUGCCCAUAGUUUUUUACAGGGAUGCAAUUGGGGAUGAACUGUUCAUCAGUGCUGUUAGAAAUACUGCUGUUGUUCUGCAUCGUGGUCCCACACACUUCAGUCCUGAUGGAGAACACUGCUGUAGGAGGCCUAGCACAGGACUGAGCAGAUGUGUCACCUUCACUCCCUGCCCCACACUGAGUCCCCUCACUAAUGGAAGGAUCUCAUACAAUGCAACCACCAACAUGGCCACCUACAUCUGUAACACUGCUGGUUACGCACCAACCAUCACCAUGGCCAGUGGAUCAGUUCUGCAGAUAACUUGUAUGAGUGAUGGUACUAGUGCUGGUACCUGGUCUCCAUCACCACCUACAGCCUGUGCAUUUGUGUAUUGUGGCUCCCCACCCACCAUUGCCAAUGGCUCUCCUGGAGUACCAAUUGCAACCCCUGACGCAACCUCCGACAAAGGGACAGUGACCUACACCUGUGACAGUGGGUAUGAGGUCGUCGCCACAGCAAUGGCCACAUGUAUGGCUAAUAGGACCUGGGGACCUCCACCAACUUGUCAGCCUGUAAAUUGUGGGACACCUCCCUCUGUAACCAAUGCAUCUCCUGGAACACCCUCACCUGACACAACUCUCGGAGAGAAUGUGACCUACACCUGUGUCAGUGGGUAUGAGGUCUCCACUGGAGUCAUCACAGCAACAGCUACCUGUAUGGCUAGUGGGGUGUGGGGACCUCUACCAACUUGUUCACCUGUUGACUGUGGCUCCUUGGACGCCCCCUCCAAUGGAGCAGUGGACACAUCCUCUGGAACCACCUUCAUGAUGACUGCUACCUACACCUGUGACACUGGAUACAACAUUGUUGGAUCAAACACCACUCGGACUUGUGGGGCCACUGCACUAUGGACUCCAGAGGCCCCCACAUGUGCACCUGUUGACUGUGGUCCCCUCACUGUUCCUAAUGGGCAAGUUAGUACAUCCUCUGGAACCACCUUCAUGAAUACUGCCAUGUACACUUGUGAUCAUGGCUACACUCUCAAUGGAGCAUCAGAUAGAACCUGUCAAGUUAAUAGAACCUGUCAAGCUAAUAGAACCUGGAGCCUAACAGCACCUACCUGUGAUCCUGUUGACUGUGGUCCCCUAAAUAACACUCCCAAUGGACUAGUCAGUACAUCCUCUGGAACCACCUUCAUGAUGACUGCUACCUACACCUGUAACACUGGAUACAACAUCGUUGGUAGUGAGAGCAGAACUUGUGGAGCAAAUGGAACAAGUGGAGUGUGGUCAGGAGAACCUCCAGUGUGCAACUUCAUUCCUUUGAGCAGGGGAUCGAGUGCCAUUGUUAACAACUCUGCCUUAUCACUGGCGACCAUUGGAGAGGGUUCCUCUGCCCUCACCUGUCAUACUGAGCUCAUCACCUGCUGCAGAGGAGAGGACAACAACGGCAGUGCUCUUGGAGGGUGGAGAGGACCAAAUGGUGGCAGCAUUCCUGACUCGAAUACCAAUGGAUUCUACGUGUCACGAGGUAUAAGCUCCAUUAGUCUGAACCUUGUAGAGGGAUCCAGUGAAGUAGCUGGUACCUACUGUUGUCAAGUGCCCAGGGAGAGUGGGGCAACCACUACACAUUGUGUCAUGGUGACUGUCUCUGCUUCUCUCUCUAUUGCUGCUGUUGCUGGUGGGAUAGUCGGUGCUAUAGUGGUGGUGAUUCUAGUGAUCCUGCUCAUCAUAUUCCUAGUACUGUUCCUAAGACAAUCACGGAAGAAACAGUAUGAACCUGCUGUCAAAAACUCUGGUCUCUCUACUGUAUACAGCAAACACAGCGAUGCCAGUGAUGGGGGCGUGGCUACCAUAUCAAAAGACCACGAGCCUACCAUAACUGGCUUCCCAAGUGAGAGCAGAGCUAAUGAAGGGGAGGAGGUAGUCAUUAAGCCCAAGGUGGAAGGUCACCCUCCACCCAGUAUCACCUGGUACCACGAUGGUAGGAAGGUGACUGCAGACUAUGCCACAGAACUGGACCAGGACGGUGGAUUAUCCUUCCCUAGUGUAGAGACUAAGCAUGCUGGUGUGUAUAAGCUGGUGGCCAGUGGACCUUCUGUCAAAGCUGAGACAGAGCUCCAGUUGAUAGUGGUACCAGAGGGAGGGGAAGAAGAGGUGACAGAUGAGAUGGACCUCACUCCUAUACCAGUGGAUGGGUUUGGAGCAUAUGUCACUGAGCAGCAUGCUAAUGGCAAUAAGAAGUUUGCCAGCAACUAUUUGGGUCUCGGUGGUAAGGAAGGUGAACACUCAACAGCAAUUGCCAAACAGCACAAGGAGGAAAAUAGAUUUAGAAACAUUCUUGUGUAUGAUGACAACCUCAUUAUCCUAGACCCCAUCCCUGGACAAGAGGACUGUCAGAGUGACUACAUCAAUGCCUGCUAUGUAGACGGUUUUGUCAAGCGAAACAAGUUUAUUGCUUCUCAAGGACCACUACCCAAUACUCUGGUGGACUUCUGGCGCAUGAUGUGGCAGGAGAGACCACCCAUAAUAGUCAUGCUCACCAACCUCAUGGAGAACAACAAGAUUAAGUGUCAACAGUACUGGCCUGACAGUGGCAGUGUGAGCUAUGGCCCCUUCACAGUCACCAUCACAGACCAGCAGGUCCUGGCUGACUACACUGUCAGAAACCUACUACUUGCAAUGAAAGGUGUAAGUGGGAAACCUUUCAAGACCACUCAGUUUCACUUUACGACGUGGCCUGAUCACGGUGUGCCUGACUAUGCCACGCCCAUUCUUGGGUUUCAUCGUCGGGUCAAGUCCCAACACAAGCCAUCCAGAGGUCCUCUCCUGGUCCACUGCAGUGCUGGUGUGGGACGCACAGGCACUUACAUUGCCAUUGAUAAUGUCCUCGAUCAGAUCGCAGCCGAGGGUCUCGUCGAUAUUUCCGGAACAAUUGUCAAAUCUCGCAACCAGAGGAUGAAAAUGGUCCAAACCCAGGACCAAUAUGUGUUCAUCCACGAUGCUAUCCUGGAGUCAGUGACGUGUGGAGACACUCAGAUCUGUGCUGGAGAUCUGCGCAGACAGAUACAGAAGAUGUCAUCAGUGGCCCCAGGAAAAACCACAUCAGAAUUCCAAUACCAGUUCCAAAUUCUGGAACAGGUCUCUCCAAAUCCGAAUGAGGUCAACUGCAGUAGUGCAUUCAGACACAAGAACCUGAACAGGGGAAUACAGUACCUACCAAUUGAGAAUCACCGCGUGUUCCUGAAAGGGGAGGACCCUGGCCGUGACUACAUCAAUGCCGUCUUUGUCAAUGGCUACAAGCACCAGAAGGCAUACAUCAUUGCCCAGAAUCCACUGGACUCAACUGUGCGUAACUUCUGGAAGAUGAUCUAUGACAGGAAGUGUGCGGCUGUUGUGAUGUUGACUCCACUCAGUGAGAAUGGGAAGGAGGCAUGCUCCCAGUACUGGCCAGAGAGUGGCAAUGUCACCUCCUUCGGUGAGUUCACCAUUGAUAACUUGGGGGAGGAAGUCAACACUGGGUUCGUUAUGAGGCAACUGAGCGUACUUAACAAGAAGAUAAAAAAGCCUCUCCAAAUAAUUCAGAUUCAAAUUCUCGAUUGGAAAUCGACUGGUGCAUGUGCAAACUUCAAGAUUAUAACUGACGUCAAUGAGGAGGUUGUAAAGGUUCAAAGGAGAACUGGAAACAAGGCGAUUGUGGUCCACUGCAGUGACACUGCCACCCGCUCUGGUAUGUACUGCUCUGUAGCUACUACCAUUGACCGUUGCAAGACAGAGGGAGUGGUGGAUGUGUUCCAGGUGGUCAAGGCUCUCAGGGUCCACAAGCCAGGGGCAGUACCCUCAGUCGACAACUACAAGGAUGUUUUCGAGGCCUUGUUGGUCUACUUGGACUCCUUCGAUACUUAUGCAAACUUUCUCUAAAACUAAAAUGGAAACUAGAACUGGACGGCAGCUCAUUUUGGGAGGGAGAGCUUCUAAUAUAAUGUGCACAUGUUUAAAGUUAGAUGUAGGAUUUUAGUUUUUUGUGUAUUGCCACAAUGUCCUUUUAACUCAGUGUGAUGAAACAAUUUUGGGACGAUUUAGGUGAGAGUUGCCAAACUAAAAAUCGUAUACUAGAUUGUGUCUUUUGAGGCGGCCAGUCAUGUCAGUGCAUGGUUCAGAUCGUCUUGUGUGAUAAUAUUAUGUUACUGAUGGCUUGUCGUACAGCUGCAUAACAUUGCUGAUGAAUGCAGCUCAUGAUUGAGAAACCUUUUUUAAUAGCUAGUACUUGUACCCACUCCUUGCUUGCUUUUAUCUAUAGACCUAAACCUUUAUAAGAAGAAGCAUACACACAUGCAUCAUUGGAUCGAAUCAGUGGCCGUAAGUAGUUUACAGUUAUAAUUAAUAGAGCGAGUCCUUUCAGAUGGAAUGCUUAUAGAUCGAAUUAGUCUUUUUGUUGCAACUUCUCCCCCACAGGGCCCUUACUUGUACGUGUGACUGCCCCCUCAAUGACAAGACAAGACAAGGGGUACAGUGCUCGGAAGUGGACAAACAGCAAACCAGUGGAGUGGCACGGAACUACAUAGGAUGAAAGAGCUCAGAGUCCGCCCCAGAAGAGGGGAACAAGUACAAGGUGACCAAGUACUGACCAGAGAAGAACAAGAACGGAUUCAUUGUCUGGAAGUACCUGUUUAGGAGAGAUAAGUCUCAUGCUCCUUGGACUCGUGAGGGCAAGAAGGCCAUUAAGAAGCAGGGCCUCACCAUGGAGUAUCCUGAUGGCUACCUCGAGGCUCAGGCUGCCAAAAAACAGAGCAAAGAAGCAGAGGCUGAUGGUGGGGUGGGGUCAGAUGAGGAGGCAGCUAGCUAGACAAGGGGAAGAGCUAG